rnacentral:rRNA from 1 species
UACAGAGGGGGCAAGCGUUGUUCGGAAUUACUGGGCGUAAAGGGCGCGUAGGCGGCCUGCUAAGUCGAACGUGAAAUCCCUGGGCUCAACCCAGGAACUGCGUCCGAUACUGGUUGGCUUGAAUCCGGGAGAGGGAUGUGGAAUUCCAGGUGUAGCGGUGAAAUGCGUAGAUAUCUGGAGGAACACCGGUGGCGAAAGCGGCUCACUGGACCCGAUCUGACACUGAUGUGCGAAAGCUAGGGUAGCAAACGGG